rnacentral:ncRNA from 1 species
GUUUUGGAGAGUUUGAUCCUGGCUCAGGACGAACGCUGGCGGCGUGCCUAAUACAUGCAAGUCGAGCGGACCGAAUC